rnacentral:rRNA from 1 species
UUUUCGGAUGGAUUUUUGAUUGACUGAGUGGCGGACGGGUGAGUAACGCGUGGAUAACCUGCCUCACACUGGGGGAUAACAGUUGGAAACGACUGCUAAUACCGCAUAACGCGUAGAGGUCGCAUGGCCUUUACGCCAAAGAUUUAUCGCUUCAAGAUGGCCUCGCGUCUGAUUAGCUGGUUGGUGAGGUAACGGCCCACCAAGGCGACGAUCAGUAGCCGGACUGAGAGGUUGAACGGCCACAUUGGGACUGAGAUACGGCCCAGACUCC